CACGUAGGGGGCAAGCGUUGUCCGGAUUUAUUGGGCGUAAAGAGCUCGUAGGUGGUUCGGUAAGUCAGGUGUGAAACCUCCAGGCUCAACCUGGAGACGCCACUUGAUACUGCUGUGACUGGAGUCCGGUAGGGGAGCGUGGAAUUCCUGGUGUAGCGGUGAAAUGCGCAGAUAUCAGGAGGAACACCAGCGGCGAAGGCGACUUCCUGGCCUGUUCUUGACGCUGAGGCGCGAAAGCUAGGGGAGCAAACGGG
rnacentral:rRNA from 1 species